rnacentral:rRNA from 1 species
GGUUCAGGAUGAACGCUGGCGGCGUGCUUAAUACAUGCAAGUCGAACGGAAGUAAUGGGAGCUUGCUCUUGAUUACUUAGUGGCGGACGGGUGAGUAACGCGUGGGUAACCUGCCUCAUACAGGGGGAUAACAGUUAGAAAUGACUGCUAAAACCGCAUAACAUAGUUGAACCGCAUGAUUUGACUAUCAAAUAUUUAUAGGUAUGAGAUGGGCCCGCGUCUGAUUAGCUAGUUGGUGGGGCAAUGGCCUACCAAGGCGACGAUCAGUAGCCGUACUGAGAGGUAGAACGGCCACAUUGGACUGAGACACGGCCCAAACUCCUACGGGAGGCAGCAGUAGGGAAUAUUGGACAAUGGGGGAAACCCUGAUCCAGCCGACGCCGCGUGAGUGAAGAAGUUAUUCGUAAUGUAAAGCUCUAUCAGCAGGGACGAUAAUGACGGUACCUGACUAAGAAGCACCGGCUAAAUACGUGCCAGCAGCCGC